AGAGUUUGAUCAUGGCUCAGGAUGAACGCUAGCUACAGGCUUAACACAUGCAAGUCGAGGGGAAACGAUAUUGGAAGCUUGCUUCCGAUAGGCGUCGACCGGCGCACGGGUGAGUAACGCGUAUCCAACCUGCCCACCACUUGGGGAUAACCUUGCGAAAGUAAGACCUAAUACCCAACGACGUCUCUAGAAGACAUCUGAAAGAGAUUAAAGAUUUAUCGGUGAUGGAGUGGGGAGUGCGUCUGAUUAGCUUGUUGGCGGGGUAACGGCCACCAAGGCUACGAUCAGUAGGGGUUCUGAGAGGAAGGUCCCCCACAUUGGAACUGAGACACGGUCCAAACUCCUACGGGAGGCA
rnacentral:rRNA from 1 species